GGUGCGCGCUCCCGCGAGGGGGUGCAUCUGACGCCGGGGGUGCUGAAUUGGGUACAACAGGUGUUCCAUAUCUUUCAGCUUGUCAACAAAUACACGUGUACCACUGGUCCGUGGUCCAUUUUUCCAGUACCAUUUAGACACCCGGGGGUUGCCACAUAAGAACGCGAACACAGUGUUCUACCACCAUGGAAGUAAGCAAACAAACUGGAUCAACGCCUCAGCAUCCUUUUAAAAAGCUGCAUGACCAGAGAGUUGGCUCAUUUUCUUCUGAACAGAUCCUCUGCCUCUUGGACCACUAGGACCUGUACUAUCUUCUCUUCUUUCUAGCUCAUCCUCUCCGCCUUCUGCCUCUCGUAUCAGCGGCACCUGACCAGCCCUCACUGGCUUCACCUGACACUGGUGAGGGCACUUCAUAACUGAGAUCUACAUCAGGCUGCAACAAGGAAGAACAGAAGGACUCGUUGUCGCUUGCUAUUGUCAAAGUUUAAUGUCUUGCACUCGUUCCUGUAGGUUCAGUGUCUGGGGAGAUAAUGCUCUCCAAUGUUUUGAAUUUAGAAUGCAGUACCGAUUUUAAACACUUGGUGUUCCGGCUACAUAUUGCUCCUUUAACUAGCAAGAUUAAAUGACUAGAAUGAUUAUACUGCAUAUCGUUUUACAGACAACGAAGAGAAGCUAUCAAUCUUGAAUGGCAUAGAAGAGCAAGGCUUAGGGUAGUGGGGAGAGGGGACAUGAGCAUAUCACGACAGGUUCAUCCAAACCAGUGCUAAGACAUCCUGGACAACCUGAUCCACACAGUCUAUCUCUGUAUUGACACCAAAAAGUAUGUGGACGAUUUUUUGUGCUAAGGCCUGUGAGACACGGGCCCCCAAUUAAAAAAGAAUGACCAAUUAUCCUUCCUGCAGUGACACAAAUGUCAUUCUCCAGGAGCUCCUAACUUGUUGAUGGAGUUAGGUGCUCCCUCUCCCCCUCGAAAGAAAGCAGUCUUCGUUAAGAGGAGAAACUGUCAAAUAACAGAGAAACACAUUCAAAGACAAAUCUAGUGUGAAAAAUGUCUGGAGGGCUUACAUCCCAAUGGACAGCACAUGGCAUUUAUGCCAACAGCAUUAUACAAAUAGUACAUUUUGACCUGUGAUAAAGUUACACUACAUCAUUUUCACAAAAAAACAACUGUAAGCGAUAUCUAUGAUGUUCUAAAGAUGAUUAAGUGAAAGUCACCUCAACCAAAAUAUCAGUCAAUGCUCUACAGGUACAUUCAAUUUCACAGCUGUUCAGGCCUAACAUGAUACAUUCACGGCCCCUAAUUUCAUUGACGGGCAACUGGCAAUGACCAAAGUCCGCCAUGCAUGAACUAAAGCGAAUUUAAUAACUUAGCAAAGUCAUUUAGCUAAUUUAAUACCAUGAGCAAGAUCCUAAGUGUAAACAUGGGUGGGUCAGCGCAAUGCCCCCACAUGCUUUAUUUCAUGCGCAAUGGACUUUUCUCCUUGCCUGUCAAUCAAAUUAGGGCCCCACAUCUAAUAGGGUUUUUCCCCAAUCAAUCUGCAAGUUAGGGGCCUUGCCCACUCCACCCUCUGUCUUUUGUAGAAUGAAGUGACCAGCUUCCGUCCAUUUUCAAUGAGGUGACAAUAUACAGUGACAAGAGACAAAUGACCGUUGCAUCACCAACUGGGCAGAAAUAGGCUAGAGGUCUAGUUUAUGCAAAUACAGAAUGACGUGACACGGUGACCACCAAUGGGAGUGAAGGCACCGUGACACGUUGUUGAAACAAAUGAGCAAUCGUGUUUAGCCUACUUGUUUAGUUCUGUAACCUGGUAACCACGAGCUGGGAGAGCCCAUUUGUCUUCCUUCUGUGUCACUUGUGUGGCCACAAGGUUAGGGUGAUUGUGAGGGGCUCCAUAUUUUGCUUGUCUGGAAGGGCUGCCUGUGUGAAAAGAUGGGCUGCUCUCUCUGGGUCCAGUCCCAUAACCCAAGCUUUUAAAAAGAGAAGAUUAUAUUAGCAAACAGUUACUGAAACAAUAGUUUACAAAUCUAAAUUCAAUCACCUUGUUCCAUCCAAACAUCCAUGGAAUUUUGAUUAUCCAUUAAAUGUUCGGCAUCUGAACAACAGUUAUGGUCAGACUGAUUUUGAAGGGUCCUCAUGUCUUUCAAUGAAAAAGUGUGGAGCAACUCGAAGAUACUGGAAUAAAUUAAUUAACAUUAAUAGGAGCAAAGGCAAAAAAACAGCAUGUUUCAAACAUUUAGCUGAAAAAAAAAACAAUUGAAAACUAAGGCUCUCUGAAUUUAGGCUGAUGAAAAGAUGAAUGAGGUUUCAUGAACUUGGUUGCGUUUACAGAAUGCAAUACGAUCCCAUAUUAUUUGCUCUACCAUGCUUUAUAAUGAAGCUUUAAUAAUAGGCACAUUUUUUAUCUAGUAUCUUUAUCUCCAGGAAGUAGCCUACCACUGAGUGAGUUGGAGGACGAAUCGGUGUCCCAUAAGAGACGUUCAGCCCAGCACUACAUGUUCAAAAACAUGUUGUGUUUCGCCUGGUCUGGCAGGUAACAGAAUUAUCCUUAGUUGGUUUUAGAUAAAGAAAUUCGUUUUGGAUCCACAGGCUUUGUCAUCAGUGUUGCUUAUAUCAAAUAUGGGACCCGGCACUUGCAAUGGUGUAGAAGAAUGGAGACAAUAUGCAUUAAUAAAGAAACAGUUUUUAUUGAA